ACACGGUAACGCACUUCUAGGGUUUAAGACGCAGGUACUUCCGGCCUAAUCGCGCUCCUCUAUACGCAACUACGCCACCUUCGCUAGGUUUUGGUAAAGAGAAGGAACCUACGAAGAAGAAGAAGAAGACGAUGACAUUGAUGAAUAGGUCGCCCUACGUCUCUCUCUUGUCCAAAGCCCUUGCCUUCGUCCCUUGCUGUCGUCCGGCCGAUGCUGCCCUUUUUCUCGCAACCCAUUCUUACUCCGCCACCUCCGGUGCUCCACAGAGCAGCCUUAUGGCUGAAUACCUGGUCAGCUCCUGUGGCUUCGAUCCAGAUCAGGCGGCCAAAGCCUCGAAGCUCCUUGGCGGCGUCGAAUCCCGCCACCAGCCUGACUCCGUCCUUGGCUUAUUUAAAAGCUACGGUUUUGACAACACCCAGGUGAAAAAGGUCAUAUCUGCAAACCCCCGGUGGCUUCUCCUCGACGUGGAGAAGACCCUGGCUCCAAAGUUCCGAGCUUUGCAGGAUCUGGGCUUCUCCUGCUCCGACAUCACCCACCUCGUCAGAUCGAAUAACGACGUCACCAGCGACAAAUCCGAGAACAUCUUGUCCAAGAUCCAAUUAUGGCAAGACCUCCUCGAGUCCAACGACUUUUUGGUAAACUUGUGCAAGAAAAACAGGAGGUUUCUCGGGUAUAGCAUCGAGAAGACGAUCCAGCCUAACAUUGAAAUUCUAAGGGAUUGCGGGAUCACGGAUCAGAAGCUCUCAAUGAUCAUACGGCACCGCCCCCUCCUUAUAACCCGGAAUGCUGAAACCCUGAAGGCGUUAAUCAGUCGUGUCGAGGGUUUGGGAGUACCUCGCACCUCAGGGAUCUUCCCCCUUACCCUGUGUGUGCUCCAGAGAAUCACCGAGAAGAACUUCAAGGCUCACUUGGAGUUCUUCAAGGGCUUCGGGUGGUCCGAGGAUGAUUUCCUUGCUGCAUUCAGAAAGGUUCCUACGCUUGUGGGAUUAUCUUUAAAGAGUUUGCAGAGGAAGAUGGAGUUCUUGGUAAAUGAAGCCGGAUGUGCUCCAUCUCAUCUUGCUCUUCGGCCAGAUAUUUUGUUGUGCAGUUUGGAGAAAAGGUUGAUGCCAAGGCAUCAGAUUGUGACAGGCCUGAAGUCUAGGGGAGUUUGCAUCAGUAACCUUAGUAUGUCUACAUACGCGAAAUAUCCAGAGAAGAAAUUUGUGGAGAAGUUCGUCAACCGCUACAAGGAGUAUCCAGAACUCAUUGAGUUGUAUAAUGGAGUCCCCAAAAACAGAACUGCAUUUGAUCGUGGAAAUGCAUAAUGCAUAGCACAAACUUUUGUACCAGCAAGUUAUGUUUCCAGGUUCCAAUUUUCCACUAUCCGCAUAACAUGAUCUACAGUUUGCGACCAAAUAAUUCCUGCCAUUUACUUCGUUUUCUGUGAAUGUAAGAUGAGUUUGGAUGCUUACACGUAGUAAGAAAAUGAAGAAUGUUGAGAAGAUUUGUGAUGAUAUUGCCGAUAGAGUUAAUUGCUUGUUGAUAAUCACUUGUGUAGACGCCACAUGGAAUUGUUAUUCUUGUCCCAUUCGUUUUAAGUCUACUGGAAGAUAUCAGACUUAUGUAGGUUAUUGGACACGUGAAGUUUUGAUUGAUUUAACUAUGGAUAUUUGCUAAGUUAGGUUUCGAGUUUUGGUUAUUUUUUCAAAUGAUAAGAAGUAGGAUUCUUUUGGAUGGUAUGGUAGGAUGCUUUGGUGAUUUUGAGCUGGAUGAUGAGGCUUUUGAUUUAGGGCAAGGGUUGGUCACCUUUUAUAUAAAUUUACUAAAGUCCCUCAUAUCCUAAACCAAACCGAAAACCCAAAAAAGGUAGAUGAGGUUGCGUUUCAAUUUUUUGUAUAUUUUGUUUAUCAAACUUUGUUCUCUUUCUUAAGUGAUUAGUUUGAACCACUUCUUUCCUCUUGCUGAUCGGUCAAUUCAGUUGAAAUUUCUCUCUUUAUAAGUGCAAAACCUUAAUGAAUACCAGGUUGCCACCAUGAUAGUUUGAAGCUGACUGUCUUCUUGAGAAUGAAGUUGUAACUCUUAGAUUUAUGAAGGAAACCACACUUUCCGUAUUGACAAUGUUUUGUUCUCAAUUUAAGCACUGGAAUGUACAAGUUGUCCUUUACCAAUUUAAGCAUUUUAGUACGGGGGUGGUCUAAACUUCAUGCACUUCAGCUCAGACAGGCCAACUCCAUGUGGUCCUGCCUUUGAGACCAAGUUCCACGUGGCUGCCUAAGGGCCUGCCCAUUAAGACUGCUAGGGACUGGUUUGCAAUGUAAUGAAGAAAUGAUUGUAAAUUUCAAGGACUGAAUUGUAAAUCGAUAAUAACUUUUUUGAACUCUGUAUCCAAUUUGGAUGAGCAAUAUAGUGUUAGGUGCCUCAUAAAACCUAGAUUCUCUGUAUGCUGAUGUGAUGAAAUUUUAAUAUGCUGUUAUUAGUUCAUAUUUCUUUUGGCAAUAAAUUUUAUAUUGAUGCGUCUAUUUUAGCCUAUAAUUGACGCAUAUUAAUAUUUGUUAGAAGUGCCAUGAUGCAUAAGUUGGAUGCUUGAGUAUGUGAAAGGUUGUUGUUGCAUGGUUGUGCAGCAUGUUGAUAUAUACAUAUAUGGAUGAUUGAACAACAUUGUCAUUAUUCGUAGGCAAUUUUGAAAGGGAUUAGUAGUCGUCAAACAAGCUUAUAAGAUAUUCCUUGCAUCUAUAGAAAUGCGUAUUUCGACUGUUGCCGGGCACCACUUGAUCCUAGUAAUGGACUAAUAGCAGGGAAUGUGAUAUGAAUUUAGUCUAUAAGGAGGUUGCUUCAUCCUGAGCAGUCGGACGAGUUCCGAUGCAGCAAAGUGCACUAAUGGAUGUGCUUUUCUCAUGAUGAAUUUGUAGGUACUUGGUUAAAUUAAACUGAAGCACUGCUUACUCCUGUUGAGUUAUCGGGAUCAAGAGAAGUUUUAGAUGACUUGCACCCUAUCGCAUGUUGAUCAUCGUAGAGAUGUUUUCCUAACAAAGGCUUGAGUCGUUAUCAGCGAAGAAUUAUACAUGUACUGUACUGCCUCAGAACUAGCUGCUGGAUAGGGUCAGGUUCUUUCAGUAGGAAAAGACUGAUGCUGUUUGCAAGGCUUGAUACUUUUUGUGGGGGAUUUUGUCUCUAAAAGGACUGAGAUCCUUUCAACUUGUAGAACUAUAUAUGUUCUAGGAUUUUAUGCCCUCUAAAAUUGCUUGCUAAACAAGAUCAAUUUAUUUUUAAUCGUUAUUAUCA